rnacentral:tRNA from 1 species
GGUAAAGCUUAGUGGUAGAGCACUUGCUUAGCAUGUAAGAGGUCCUGGGUUUGAUCCCCGGCAUCA